GCAGUAGUUAGCAGCUUAAAACCUCAGAAGGAUAAAACUGCAGGCGGGUGAUAUGCUCACAACUUUCAAGAUGGAACAUUAAUGUGGAAAAGUACAUGAAGCUGGAAGCAGAUUUGUGAACAGAAAACGAACCAACCCAUGAGCGGAAUCUCACUAUUUUUGAUCUCUUUUUGCACUAUUUGCUUAUAUAUAUAUAAAAUAAGAUAAACAGUAUAUAUAUAUAUAUUAUUUCAGUAUUCUUAUGGAUUACUCUGUACCACUGCCACAAAGUAACAAAUUUCAUGAAUACGUCAGUGAUAUUAAACCAGCUUCUGACUGUGAUUCUGAAAUGUUGUUAUUGGCACUUAAUUCAAAGACAUUGGGACAGGGAUUGACCAUGCUGUCCAGACUGGACUAUAGGUAGCAAUCAAAAUGAUCAGUUGCUCACAGUGCUCUGGCUGCACCACAGAGAGGAGAGAGGGGACCGGUGGAGUGAGGAUCAGCAGUAAGAAAUCUGCAGAGAGUUUUGUAACCCAGGAUAAUUAAACCCAAAGUUGUAGUGCUAGAAACUUCUACCUGCAGAGGCACGAAGAUGGAAUUUACCAAUUUAAAAAAGGAGAAUUUGAAAAAAAUGCUAUGCAAGGGUGGGGCUUGGCUGGACAUAGGACAGACAAGGAGAGAAACACAGCAAAGAUUAGAAGCUGAAGACAUGAACGGUUAAGAGUGAAAUUAAUAACGAGAAUCUUUACCCUACUAACUUGAAAUCCCUGGAGGAAAGACAAUAACAUUGAAAGAUUUAUCGAAGCUAUAGCUGUAACAUGCAAGGAGCUUUAACGAGACAAUAUCAGCAGAGACCAGUAUCCAAAAUCCUAGUUGGGAAUUAGUUCUACAAAAUAAUAUCAAGGGACUUGGUCAAGUUUUUGUACAAGUUUGUGAAUUGAUUUUCCAUGGAUGCUAAACUAUUUCAUUCCAAUCAACCAAGAAUCAAGAUGGCAGCCACCCAAGGUGAAGAACCAGUACGGGAAGAAAAUGUGUAGUGGUGCAGAUGAUUUAAUACAGAUGGAUGUACUGUAGAAGUUUUUUUCAUUCGAAGAAUCUGCAUUUGAUUUUCUGCAAGAACUGAUUAUUUUUACAAAGACUUUGAUAAGUUACUGAAUAAGAUUUGCUUGGUUUAAGAGAGUUGUGAUGUUGGAGAAUUGUUGUGAAAGGUGUACAUGUUAUUUUUGAAUGUGAAUUUAAACUUUCUAGAUAUACCGCCUGGAAAUGAAACUGAAGUUAACUAUAACACUUGAGAAUAGGAAUUAUAUUAGGUUUUCAAACUAACUAGGGUUAAGUAGAAAUGAAAGUUUAGUCUGUAAACUUUUAUAAAGGGAAUACCACACUAGAUCUAAGUAGUUAGAGAAAUUAGAAUAAUAAAGGAAUCUCACUGAUUCUAAUUAAAAAGGAAUAUGUUGUGGUUUGAUACCUAAGAUUUGGAACCUAAUGUCUGUAUUUUGAAUUGUUCUAGCUCAUGUAAAUAUUUUGUACGUAUUGUUCUUUUCUUAUAAACAAAGCUUAUUUCCAGAA